CCUACGGGGUGCAGCAGUGGGGGAUAUUGCACAAUGGGGGGAACCCUGAUGCAGCGACGCCGCGUGGGUGAAGGAGCGUUUCGGCGCGUAAAGCCCUAUCGGCAGGGAAGAAGAGGACGGUAUCUGACCAAGAAGCCCCGGCUAACAACGUGCCAGCAGACGCGGGAAUACGUAGGGGGCAAGAGCUAUCCGGAUUUACUGGGUGUAAAGGGGGCGCAGACGGCAAUGCAAGCCAGGAGUGAAAGCUCGGGGCCCAACCCCGGAACUGCUCUUGGAACUGCAUGGCUGGAGUACAGGAGGGGCAGACGGAAUUCCUAGUGUAGCGGUGAAAUGCGUAGAUAUUAGGAGGAACACCAGUGGCGAAGGCGGCCUGCUGGACUGUGACUGACGGUGAGGCGCGAAGGCGUGGGGAGCAAACAGGAUUAGAUACCCGAGUAGUC
rnacentral:rRNA from 1 species